UACGGAGGGGGCAAGCGUUAUCCGGAAUUAUUGGGCGUAAAGCGUCCGUAGGUGGCUAGUCAAGUCUGCGGUCAAAGACUGGGGCUUAACCCUGGAAAGGCCGUGGAAACUGACGAGCUAGAGUGCAGUAGGGGUAGAGGGAAUUCCCGGUGUAGCGGUGAAAUGCGUAGAGCUCGGGAAGAACAUCGGUGGCGAAAGCGCUCUACUGGACUGCAACGGACACUCAGGGACGAAAGCUAGGGGAGCGAAUGGG
rnacentral:rRNA from 1 species